rnacentral:rRNA from 1 species
GAACGCUGGCGGCAGGCCUCAUACAUGCAAGUCGAGCGGUCCUUCGGGACAGCGGCGAACGGGUUAGUAACGCGUGGGAACGUGCCCUUUAGUAUGGAAUAGCCAUUGGAAACGAUGAUUAAUACCAUAUACGCCCCAAGGGGGAAAGAUUUAUCGCUAAAGGAUCGGCCCGCGUUAGAUUAGGUAGUUGGUAGGGUAACGGCCUACCAAGCCGACGAUCUAUAGCUGGUUUGAGAGGAUGAUCAGCAACACUGGGACUGAGACACGGCCCAGACUUCUACGGAAGGCAGCAGUAGGGAAUCUUGGACAAUGGGCGAAAGCCUGAUCCAGCCAUGCCGCGUGAGUGAUGAAGGCCCUAGGGUUGUAAAGCUCUUUCGCCAGGGAAGAUAAUGACGGUACCGGUAAAGAAACCCCGGCUAAC